CCUACGGGAGACAGCAGUGAGGAAUAUUGGUCAAUGGACGCAAGUCUGAACCAGCCAUGCCGCGUGCAGGAAGACGGCUCUAUGAGUUGUAAACUGCUUUUGUACGAGGGUAAACGCAGAUACGCGUAUCUGUCUGAAAGUAUCGUACGAAUAAGGAUCGGCAAACUCCGUGCCAGCAGCCGCGGUAAUACGGAGGAUUCAUGCGUUAUCCGGAUUUAUUGGGUUUAAAGGGUGCGUAGGCGGUCGGAUAAGUUAGAGGUGAAAUCCGGAGGCUCAACUUCGGAAUUGCCUCUGAUACUGUUGGGCUAGAGAGUAGUGGCGGUAGGCGGAAGGUAUGGUGGAGCGGGGAAAUGCUUAGAGAUCAUACAGAACACCGAUUGCGAAGGAAGCUAACAGGGCUACUUCUGACGUUGAGGCACGAAAGCGUGGGGAGCAAACAGGAUUAGAUACCCUGGUAGUC
rnacentral:rRNA from 1 species